rnacentral:tRNA from 1 species
UGGGGGUUUAGCUCAGCUGGUAGAGCACCUGCUUUGCACGCAGGGGGUCAGGAGUUCGAAUCUCCUAACCUCCAA